rnacentral:tRNA from 1 species
AUAAUUAUAAUAUAAUAAGUAUAGUUGAUUUCCAAUCAAACAGUUCUAAACAGAUAAUUAUU